rnacentral:rRNA from 1 species
GAUGAACGCUGGCGGCGUGCCUAAUACAUGCAAGUCGAGCGAACAGAUGAGGAGCUUGCUCCUCUGACGUUAGCGGCGGACGGGUGAGUAACACGUGGAUAACCUACCUAUAAGACUGGGAUAACUUCGGGAAACCGGAGCUAAUACCGGAUAAUAUAUUGAACCGCAUGGUUCAAUAGUGAAAGACGGUUUUGCUGUCACUUAUAGAUGGAUCCGCGCCGCAUUAGCUAGUUGGUAAGGUAACGGCUUACCAAGGCAACGAUGCGUAGCCGACCUGAGAGGGUGAUCGGCCACACUGGAACUGAGGCACGGUCCAGACUCCUACGGGAGGCAGCAGUAGGGAAUCUUCCGCAAUGGGCGAAAGCCUGACGGAGCAACGCCGCGUGAGUGAUGAAGGUUUUCGGAUCGUAAAACUCUGUUAUUAGGGAAGAACAAAUGUGUAAGUAACUAUGCACGUCUUGACGGUACCUAAUCAGAAAGCCACGGCUAACUACGUG